rnacentral:rRNA from 1 species
UACGGGGGGAGCAAGCGUUGUUCGGAUUUACUGGGCGUAAAGGGCGCGUAGGCGGCCACCGCAAGUCGGUUGUGAAAUCUCCGGGCUUAACCCGGAAAGGUCAAUCGAUACUGCGGGGCUAGAGUGCAGAAGGGGCAACUGGAAUUCUCGGUGUAGCGGUGAAAUGCGUAGAUAUCGAGAGGAACACCUGCGGCGAAGGCGGGUUGCUGGGCCGACACUGACGCUGAGGCGCGAAAGCUAGGGGAGCGAACGGG